AUUGAACGCUGGCGGCAGGCCUAACACAUGCAAGUCGAACGGUAGCACAGAGAGCUUGCUCUUGGGUGACGAGUGGCGGACGGGUGAGUAAUGUCUGGGAAACUGCCCGAUGGAGGGGGAUAACUACUGGAAACGGUAGCUAAUACCGCAUAACGUCGCAAGACCAAAGUGGGGGACCUUCGGGCCUCACACCAUCGGAUGUGCCCAGAUGGGAUUAGCUAGUAGGUGGGGUAAUGGCUCACCUAGGCGACGAUCCCUAGCUGGUCUGAGAGGAUGACCAGCCACACUGGAACUGAGACACGGUCCAGACUCCUACGGGAGGCAGCAGUGGGGAAUAUUGCACAAUGGGCGCAAGCCUGAUGCAGCCAUGCCGCGUGUAUGAAGAAGGCCUUCGGGUUGUAAAGUACUUUCAGCGAGGAGGAAGGUGUUGUAGUUAAUAGCUGCAGCAAUUGACGUUACUCGCAGAAGAAGCACCGGCUAACUCCGUGCCAGCCGCCGCAGUAA
rnacentral:rRNA from 1 species